rnacentral:rRNA from 1 species
CCUACGGGGGGCAGCAGUGAGGAAUAUUGGUCAAUGGACGAGAGUCUGAACCAGCCAAGUAGCGUGAAGGAUGACUGCCCUAUGGGUUGUAAACUUCUUUUAUAAAGGAAUAAAACGAGGCACGUGUGCCUUUUUGCAUGUACUUUAUGAAUAAGGAUCGGCUAACUCCGUGCCAGCAGCCGCGGUAAUACGGAGGAUCCGAGCGUUAUCCGGAUUUAUUUGGUUUAAAGGGAGCGUAGAUGGGUUGUUAAGUCAGUUGUGAAAGUUUGCGGCUCAACCGUAAAAUUGCAAUUGAUACUGGCAGUCUUGAGUACAGUUGAGGUAGGCGGAAUUCGUGGUGUAGCGGUGAAAUGCUUAGAUAUCACGAAGAACCCCGAUUGCGAAGGCAGCUUACUAAACUGUAACUGACAUUGAUGCUCGAAAGUGUGGGUAUCAAACAGGAUUAGAUACCCCUGUAGUC